rnacentral:rRNA from 1 species
UAUACGACCGUACCGCAAACCGACACUGGUGCGCGAGAUGAGUAUUCUAAGGCGCUUGAGAGAACUCAGGAGAAGGAACUCGGCAAAUUGACACCGUAACUUCGGAAGAAGGUGUGCCCUAUUAGUGUGUAGUGAACAACGAAGCAUGAAUGGGUUGCAAAAAAUCGGUGGCUGCGACUGUUUAUUAAAAACACAGCACUCUGCAAACACGAAAGUGGACGUAUAGGGUGUGACGCCUGCCCGGUGCUGGAAGAUUAAAUGAUGGGGUGCAAGCUCUUGAUUGAAGUCCCAGUAAACGGCGGCCGUAACGAUAACGGUCCUAAGGUAGCGAAAUUCCUUGUCGGGUAAGUUCCGACCUGCACGAAUGGCGUAACGAUGGCCACACUGUCUCCUCCUGAGACUCAGCGAAGUUGAAAUGUUUGUGAUGAUGCAAUCUCCCCGCGGAAAGACGGAAAGACCCCAUGAACCUUUACUGUAGCUUUGUAUUGGACUUUGAACAGAUCUGUGUAGGAUAGGUGGGAGGCUUUGAAGCAGGGUCGCUAGAUCUUGUGGAGCCAACGUUGAAAUACCACCCUGGUGUGUUUGAGGUUCUAACCUAGGUCCAUUAUCUGGAUCGGGGACAGUGCAUGGUAGGCAGUUUGACUGGGGCGGUCUCCUCCCAAAGCGUAACGGAGGAGUUCGAAGGUACGCUAGUUACGGUCGGACAUCGUGACGAUAGUGCAAUGGCAUAAGCGUGCUUAACUGCGAGACUGACAAGUCGAGCAGAUGCGAAAGCAGGACAUAGUGAUCCGGUGGUUCUGUAUGGAAGGGCCAUCGCUCAACGGAUAAAAGGUACUCUGGGGAUAACAGGCUGAUACCGCCCAAGAGUUCAUAUCGACGGCGGUGUUUGGCACCUCGAUGUCGGCUCAUCUCAUCCUGGGGCUGUAGCCGGUCCCAAGGGUAUGGCUGUUCGCCAUUUAAAGAGGUACGUGAGCUGGGUUUAAAACGUCGUGAGACAGUUUGGUCCCUAUCUUCCGUGGGCGCUGCAGAUUUGAGGAAGCCUGCUCCUAGUACGAGAGGACCGGAGUGGACACACCUCUGGUGUAUCGGUUGUCACGCCAGUGGCAUUGCCGAGUAGCUAAGUGUGGAAGAGAUAACCGCUGAAAGCAUCUAAGCGGGAAACUCGUUUCAAGAUGAGAUCUGCCGGGGCCUUGAGCCCCCUAAAGAGUCGUUCAAGACCAGGACGUUGAUAGGUCAGGUGUGGAAGCGAC